rnacentral:lncRNA from 1 species
UAACCAGCGUCACCACCGCGUAAACCGGCUCGCCGCCGCACGACAGCGACCCCAAUUUCACCCUUAUAAAAUCCACAACCGACAUCGUCAGGAACGUGCAGCCCAGCACCGAUCCCACGGCGGAGGCGAAGAGGCAGUAUUUGAGGUGGUCGACGUUGAUGUCGGCUCUGUGAGGAUCUUUGGGGUCCAUGUUGUUGCGGAGGUUGAUCUGAAGCUUCAAGCUCUGAGCCACCAGCGAUGAGAAGAGGAAGAAGCUGAACGAGAGGACUUCGAACACGAUGAGCCGCCUCACCGUCUCCGCACUGGUGGUGCACGCUGCUCUCGUGGCGGCGGUGGCGUUUUGCGGGACAGUCAUGGAGAAGCCGAUGAAUAACGACAUCGUAAAGAGGGAGUUGACGUUCACUAUGCCGUCGAGGGCCGUCACGUGGAUGCUCGUGUUCUUCCCGCUGUCCGCCGAGCUGGCGGCGCCGGCGGCUUGCAUUUCCAUUCUGCACGCAACGUAUGCAUGGUGUUAAUUAUAGGUUUAUGUUACUAAUUUACAUAAUGAUUUAUACUUAAAUUUAUAAUAUGGGCACAUAAAAUAGCAUGGAUUAAACAGAGAGAUACGAAUUAUAAUUACCCGUGUAAAGUUGGAGAGGAGACGGGGACGAUGGUGUGACGCCUGCUGUUCAUCAUUUUGUUUCUGAUUAAAAAUAUAUGUUAACUCAGGUUGAUGUAAUUUGGCUAUACUUUUGAGUUUUGAAGUGUGAGAGUGUGACCACUAUUUAUAUACAAGGUUUGGUUAACUACUAGACGAAAAUGUCAUUUUCCCUCAUUGCUUCGCGGAAUCAUUAGAUGUUAAUCAGCAGUCUUGGUCUUUUAAUUUAGACAAAUGCUAUAACUUCAACUUUAGUUUUUGGCAGUAUACUGUAUUAAUCAACCAAAUUAUUUGUCAAGGCAUCUGUAAACAUUAUUUUUUCAACUACCAGUUAGGUAUACAAGAAUAGAGGCUCAUUGACUGCGCGUUAUUUAUCAACUAGCUACAGACAACUAGCAUACACGUUCCUUCGUUCAUUUUUAAAUUUAUACGCUCUUCGUCUAAUAAAUAAGUAUUCAUUUGAACGUAACAUAAGUUUUAAGAAAUUUGAUUAAAUUAAUGCGUAUGAGUGAAAUAUGAGUUCUAUUUUUAUUAUGAAAGAAUCUUGUGGAUUACACUUGCUAAAAAGAAAAUUGGAUACUCAUUUUAAUUUAUAGACCGACUGAAAGAUAAAUAUGAGUGUUCAUUGGGAAUCUAACAUAUCCGAUCUUAUAAUAAGUCUUCCUUGGUUGUUGAACUUUUUCUAAAGCAUUCUUCUUAAAUAAAUAUACUGUUUAGAUACGUACACAUUUGUUGAAUUGGUGCAUACUAAUUUUUUAAAGCUAUUGUACACUAAUAAAGAACCCGACUUUAACUACUCAAAUCAUUAUAAAUAUUACUCAUUCUGUCAAAUAAAUCUCUUCCGUCCAACAAUUCGUGUCCUAAAAAAGGGGAGUACAAUUUAAAAUAGGGUUAAUGGCAUGUAAAUUACUAAACUAUAGGACAAUUCUGGUUUAAAUACCGAACUUCAAAGUGUAUUAAGGAAAUUCCUAAACAAUUGAUUUGAUCUGAUUUGGUAAGUCCGGCCAUAUUCCGGCAAGGGUAUUUUUGGUAAUGUACAUACGUGGCUUAUUUUUGUUGCGCUGGCACCUUGUUGGCCGCCUAGUGUGAUCCGACUGGAUAUAGCAAAUUACUAAAUGCCGUCGUUUAGUAAUUUUGGGGGGAAACAACCGAAAAGUCGCGCCCCAUUCCUAUCGUUUUCAUUCUUUCUGCUUUUCUCCCGAUUGUUGAAGACGAAGAUUCUUCCCCUUUUUAAUUUCUUCACCAAAGUUGUCGUCUUUUGGAGAGCACACUAGGACCCAGUAGUUUAUUAUGUUUUAUAGUUGUCUCUGAUAAUUGAAAUCGAGAACGUGGGCAUCUGUGGCUUUGUGGUCCCAUUCAGUAAUGGCGAAAAGGUAACUCAAUAACCAAUUUAUUAUGCUUUCAUGAACUUUUGGUUAACGUUUUUGAGGAAGAAGUGUAGUGUAUUCUUUGUGUAUACUGACAAAAGCAGAAGUUGUCGCAUUUUGUAGUAUUUGGGUUAAAAAUUGUCUCUUGCUUGCCUAUAGGUGGGAAAUUGUUAGUUGUUGUCAUUUUGUGCAUUAAUGUUUGGAUAUAACGGUUUUAGGGUUUUGCAUGUUAAAGUUUCGCGCAUUUUUCAAUUGUUGUUGCUUUGAAUCUGUAAAAUCUGUCUGUGUGGCUUGUCUAAAUUUUAAAUUUAUUUUGUUCCAUUUUAUGUCUACAGUGACGAUGAAUUUGGUUUACAUAUUUGCCAUGGAGGUAGGUUCAUUAACUAUGAAGCUAAACAACAUUAUAUAGGUGGGGUUUAUGACAAUAAGAUUGGCUUAGAUCCUGAUAGGUUUGGGUACUUNUGUCAUUUUCCCUCAUUGCUUCGCGGAAUCAUUAGAUGUUAAUGAGCAGUCUUAGUCUUUUAAUUUAGAGAAAUGCUUUCAACUUUAGUUUUUGGCAGUAUACUGUAUUAAUUAACCAAAUUAUUUGUCAAGGCAUCUGUAAACAUUAUUUUUUCAACUACCAGUUAGGUACAAGAAUAGAGGCUCAUUGACUGCGCGUUAUUUAUCAACUAGCUACAGACAACUAGCAUAUACACGUUCCUUCGUUCAUUUUUAAAUUCAUACGCUCUUCGUCUAAUAAAUAAGUAUUCAUUUGAACGUGACACAAGUUUUAAGAAAUUUGAUUAAAUGUGUAUGUGUGAAAUAUGAGUUCUAUUUUUAUUAUGAAUGAAUCGUGUGGAUUACACCUAGAAUAAUGCUAAACAGCUACAUUGUGGUCACCCACAAUUUAUCUAAAUAAAAAAUAAUUUAAUUUAUUUUCUAAAAUAAAAAUAAGAUUUAGUUAUUUUAUCAUAUUCUCUACAAUGUAAUUAUUUUUUUGUAAUUUUUUGAUAACUUUUUAUUUUUAUUAAGAACAAAAUUAAAAAUAAAAAAUGCAAAAAAAAUAUAAAAAAAUAAGUACAACGCAGAGAAUAUAAUAAUUAAAUAACUAAAUCUUAUUUUUAUUUUAAAAAAUAAAUUAAACAAAUCAAGAUUUUUCUUAUUAUACUAUUGUAUAGGUGGCCACAAUGUAAUUGCAUAGAUUUAUUGUUACACUUGCUAGAAGAAAAUUGGAUACUCAUUUUAAUUUAUAGACGGACUGAAAGAUAAAUAUGAGUGUUCAUUGGGAAUCUAACAUAUUCGAUCUUAUAAUAAGUCUUCCUUGGUUGUUGAACUUUUUUUAAAGCAUUCUUCUUAAAUAAAUAUACUGUUUAGAUACGUACACAUUUGUUGAAUUGGUGCAUACUAAUUUUUUAAAUUAAGCUAUUGUACACUAAUAAAGAACCCGACUUGAACUACUCAAAUCAUUAUAAAUAUUACUCCUUCUGUACAAUAAAUCUCUUCCGUUCAACAAUUCGUGUCCUAGAAAAGGAGUACAAUUUAAAAAUAUAUAUAUAUAUAUAUUGUUUAUUUGUUGAGUUGAAAAGGGGACUAACAAUUAGUAAGUAUAGUUGACUAAUGACAUUUUUUAAGAUUAAAAGUGGUGGGUCCCUGUAAAUAUAUUAGUGUAAAAUAUAAGGAUAGUAAUUAAGAAAAUAGUUACUAAAAAUAAGUAGGACAUGAAUUGAUGGACAUAUCAAAAUGACAAAUUAGGACACGAAUUGAUGGACAGAUCAAAAUGACAAAUUAUGACGUAUUCCUCAAAUAAAUAUUCAUGAUUGUCUUCGUCUACGUUCAACAGUAAAAGCAAUUAUAUGUUAUAGUAUCAUAGUUUAAGGAUGUCUUCGCCUUUCGAAAUAUGAGAUUACCCCUGCCAUUUUGGGAAAAGAUAGAUCUACCUCAAGAUAUUCUUCUCCCCAUCUAAAUACCUUAUUCAUACUCAUGCAAAAAGGUACACUUACUCAACUCACUUAAUCUAAAACACUUAAAUUAAUCUUUCUCUAGUUUUCUCUAUGAAAAAUUAAACCUUCAUCACAAAAUCCUCAGUCAUAUUAUUAACUUAAGCAUCACAGUCUCUCCUCAGAACCCUUCUGGUCUUGUUUUGCAGAUUGUUGCGAGAAGUUUGAAGAUCCUCAAAGAUUGUUCAUCAAUUAAUCAUCUAUCGUUCACUCAAUUUGCGUCUAUAUCUUCGAACUACUUCUUUGAAGGUAGCUUAAUUUGAAUCGUUGAGAUUUUGACACAAAUCAUACAACUGGCUCUGUCAAUGGGAAAGAUGAAUUGCUGAUUUUACCAAGAACUAACAUAAUCAGUUGAUCAUGCAUGUAUGAGAUUUUAAGUGCUAAUCACGUGCUAUAUUUGAAAUACUAACUUGCGAUUUCUUUUCACUUCUUUUGAAGAUAUGACUGGAAAACAUGCAAUGACACCUUAAUUCAAUGAGAGGAAUGAGCAAAACCCUCAAUGUCAAGUCACCUCUCUUGGGUGGGAGGAAAUUAUUUCGACUCAAUUACACCUAAAGUUGUCGCGAUAGUACAAGAUUAUUCUAAUGUGGCAAGUCAACUUAAGUCAUACCUCUCGGGGAAGGCUAAACAGAACGUUCACUCAUGUUACAUGCAAAAAGUAGUAAAAUUAUGAACACUUUUGGUUAUGUCACUCGUCAUCUAAUUAAAUGUGACAAAAUUAACGAGACUGAUUAAAUUAACUAAACCAUAAAUAAAAAAUGAAUAAAUUAAAGCAGUAGAUGAAAGCAAAUAAAAAUAUGGUUGUAAAGGUAGAUUCCUAGAUAGCAGUAAAUCAAAACAUGUAAAUCCAAUACAAAACAACGCAAUAAUCCAAUAAUAAUAACCUUAAUUCUACUCUUAAACCUAAGUGAUAAUUAAACCAAUAAGCUAUAAUUAAAAGAGAGACAAAUUUAAGACAAGAGCAUGACAAUAGAAAUUACAACUAAAUAAAAUAAAUCUGGAAAUAAAAUGAAAUAGAAACCCAAAAUAACUUACAGUAUUUGAAUGAUUGCUAUAUGAUACAAGAGUAAAAUUGUUUAGAAUUUGAAUAUGUAUAUAGUUCCACUAAAUUGAAGGAAGGAAUUAACCUAUAUGGAAUGAACUAAACCUUUGCUUGUCCUCAAGCAAAAUUGAAAGCCACAAAAGCAAAGAUGGGUUUAAGCAAAAUCUUUCUCAAUCAAACCAGUGUCUAUCAACGCAUUUAUGAGCUUUAAGAGAAUAAACAAACAUAUGACUUCCUCGUUCUUCACCCUUGGAGUGUACUCCAUGGGAAUCUUUUUUUCGAAAACAUUGAAAACUACAUCUACAUGCAUGUGUGUUAAGCUAAGUCUUUGCUACAAGAAUUCUAUAUAUCUCACAUCUAGGCUCCUCUCUAUAAAUUUGUAUAUAUUUAUAUGAAAUUGGGUUUGGAUCUUUAUUUGGUUUUUCUUUAAUUUAUGGACGUGAGAGCAACGCGAAAGACCGAAUUUAAUUCAAUCAACAAUCUCAUUUAAAUCUCUGGCUGUGUUUUGACAUAUCUUUGUCAUAAAUUAGACGCAAUCAAUUUUCAGAAAAACAAUAUUAAAAUUCAGAUAUCAACUGCAGAUUACGGAGGUGAAUUGUCAACUGCUGAUAACGGGAUCACAACGAUUAAUAUAUAUUAUUGCAAGGGGAUUAGCAAACAUGAAUUGAAACUAAACAUUAUUAAUUAGUAAAUAAUGAAAUAAUCAACUAAAUAAGUAUUAGUAUUAAUCACUAAUGAAAUGAUCAACUAGCUUUGCCGAUUCAGCUGAACUGUAGAAGCAGGGGGUUGGAUUUGGACAAAGAAAGCAGCACGAGCAGCAGUGAUGACAUAAACCAGCAGCCCCGACCCCACGAACACCAACAGCGUCACCACCGCGUAAACCGGCUCGCCGCCGCACGACAGCGACCCCAAUUUCACCCUUAUAAAAUCCACGACCGACAUUGUGAGGAACGUGCAGCCCAGCACCGAUCCGACGGCGGAGGCGAAGAGGCAGUAUUUGAGGUGGUCGACGUUGAUGUCGGCUCUGUGAGGAUCGGUGGGGUCCAUGUUGUUGCGGAGGUUGAUCUGAAGCUUCAAGCUCUGAGCCACGAGGGAUGAGAAGAGGAAGAAGCUGAAGGAGAGGACUUCGAAGACGAUGAGCCGCCUCACCGUCUCGGCGCUGGUGGUGCACGCUGCGCUCGACGCGGUGGUGGAGUUCUGUGGG